rnacentral:rRNA from 1 species
CCUACGGGUGGCAGCAGUGAGGAAUAUUGGUCAAUGGCCGUAAGGCUGAACCAGCCAAGUCGCGUGAAGGAAGAAGGAUCUAUGGUUUGUAAACCUCUUUUAUAAGGGAAUAAAGUGCGGGACGUGUCCCGCUUUGUAUGUACCUUAUGAAUAAGGAUCGGCUAACUCCGUGCCAGCAGCCGCGGUAAUACGGAGGAUCCGAGCGUUAUCGGGAUUUAUUGGGUUUAAAGGGUGCGUAGGCGGCCUUUUAAGUCAGCGGUGAAAGUCUGUGGCUCAACCAUAGAAUUGCCGUUGAAACUGGGAGGCUUGAGUAUGUUUGAGGCAGGCGGAAUGCGUGGUGUAGCAGUGAAAUGCUUAGAUAUCAAGCAGAACCCCGAUGGCGAAGGCAGCCUGCCAAGCCAUGACUGACGCUGAUGCACGAAAGCGUGGGGAUCAAACAGGAUUAGAUACCCUUGUAGUC